GAUGAACGCUGACAGAAUGCUUAACACAUGCAAGUCAUACGCCAAGAUACGCAUGCGCAGUCUAGACAAGGCGGAAGGGGGAGUCACGCGUAAGGAACAUGCCCAUCUGCCAGGGCUAACAGACGGAAACGACUGAUCAUACCUUGUAUCGUCAGGCUGCCGCAUGCCGAAAGGAUGAAAGGAGACGCUCUUGUGGAGUCUGGCGUACCAUUAGCUGAUUGGUGGGGUAACGGCCCAACAAGGCGAUAAGACGUGGCCGGCCUGAGAGGGUGAACGGCCACAAGGGGACUGGGAGACAGCCCUUAGGCCUACGGGAGGCAGCAGUGAGGAAUAUUGGACAAUGACGGCAAGGCUGAUCCAGGAAUUCUGUGUGCACGAAGAAGGUUUUCGGAAUGUAAAGUGCUUGCAGCAUGGAAGGAGAAAGUGACGGUACCUGAAGAAGAAGCGACGGCUAAAUACGUG
rnacentral:rRNA from 1 species